rnacentral:rRNA from 1 species
UACGGAGGAUCCGAGCGUUAUCCGGAUUUAUUGGGUUUAAAGGGUGCGUAGGCGGCCUAUUAAGUCAGGGGUGAAAGACGGCAGCUUAACUGUCGCAGUGCCUUUGAUACUGAUAGGCUUGAAUGCGGAUGAGGUAGGCGGAAUGAGACAAGUAGCGGUGAAAUGCAUAGAUAUGUCUCAGAACUCCGAUUGCGAAGGCAGCUUACUAAGUCGUGAUUGACGCUGAUGCACGAAAGCGUGGGGAUCAAACAGG